UACAGAGGGGGCAAGCGUUGUUCGGAAUUACUGGGCGUAAAGGGUGCGUAGGUGGUGAGGUAAGUUCGAUGUGAAAUCUCCGGGCUCAACCCGGAAAUGGCAUUGAAUACUAUCUCGCUAGAGAGUCGGAGGGGGGACUGGAAUACUUGGUGUAGCAGUGAAAUGCGUAGAUAUCAAGUGGAACACCAGUGGCGAAGGCGAGUCCCUGGACGACUUCUGACACUGAGGCACGAAAGCUAGGGGAGCAAACAGG
rnacentral:rRNA from 1 species